ensembl:lncRNA CD44 antigen-like
AGCGUGAGAGACAAUGACAAGGGUGUGUUCUUCAUAGCACCACCCAUCAUGUGGAGUGUGUCACCGAGUACUUUAGUCUGAGCAUAUAAAAGAGGUGAGAUACAUCUCUAGAGGGUUCAGAAAAUUACAAAGACUGGAAGAGAAUCAAAGCAUUUUAAGAACCAUACCGGUUCAGGGCCAACAAACAGGUAUACUUCCCUUUAUCUAGCACAUGACACAGCACUGAACAUGUGGACUUUGUUACUUGUAUUUGCUACUGGAUCACCAGCUCUACUUCAGGCUGCACCUGUUCAGGGUUCCAGUGGCAGAUGCAGCGUUGCCGGUGUUUUCCUUGUUGAGGGAACCAGCCGUUACUCUCUUACUUUCCAACAAGCUUUGGAAUUGUGUCAGAGUUUUGAUUACAAACUCGCAACACAGGAACAGGUCAAUGACGCUUAUAAAAAAGGCUUGAGAACAUGCAGAUUUGGCUGGCUAGAUGGACAAAAUGUCAUGUUCCUCCCACACGUUAAUGGUCCAAACUGUGACUCCAGUUCCACCGAGAUCACCUUCCAUCCUGAAGCAGCAGGGUAUCUUUCUGAUGUCUACUGCUUUAACCCAUCAGAUGCAUCACUAAACUGUGAAGAUACUGGUAAAUCUAACUCUGAAGACUUAACCAAUGGAAACACAGCCACAGCAAAUGAAAAAUCACAUGAAGACAUUCUUACGGAGGUCGAGACUGAAGGCUUUCUAGUAGAUGUGGAGGAGAUAAUGGGAAGAGUAAAAAGAGAAACUUCUGUUCUGAAUGACAUGGAGGUCCCCGUGAAAUCCUCAACUGUGCAUGCCUUGGAGGAACCCUCUACAACGACACACAGUGAAGACAGCAAGGGCCCUACAAGCAAGCCCCGUUUUGUGAAGAGCUCAUCCCCUGUUACCUCCAGUGUUUUGUUCUCUGAUACAGAGGGCAGUGGAUCAGCAUCAGAUAAUGAGACAUUGUUUACAGAUCCUGAGCCUAGUCUAUUCACAAUAACAAUGACUGCCACAGAGGCAGCUGAGAGUACAUCCAUGCCAAAUGAAAUUAAGAAAACUCCAAUUGUUGUAAUCAAAGGUCGAAAAAUGGAAGCCAGUCUUGAAGGCACACAGAGUGGCCAAGAAAAGAAAGAUGGACCAUCUACUUUGCUGAUAAUCUUUGCAUUCUGUGUUGUUGUUGGAGUCAUAGUAUGCAUACUUGUUGCUAUUGCUACUAGAGACAAGUGGUACGGACCGAGACAGAGCGGAAACAUCACAAGUGAAGAGCACAACAAAGACUACAGUAAAUCAGAAACACUGCCUCUGUCAGAGAAAGAACAGGAGAUCGUGGCACUGAUGAGUGUUGAGAAGCUGAAGAAUGGUAAAAUGGAGGACAUUGCUGCCUGUCUGGAUGAGCGUGAGAAAGAGUAUUUAAUGUAAUGCUUUAAAUCCUGUGUAUUAACAGGUUCGAACUCUUUUGUACUUUUUAUUUGCACUAGUGAUGUUUUUUUUAAUGAUUUUUUAAUGCAAUUUCCUUCCGUUUUUGUUGCUUCAAAAUGCUUCGUAUUUCACAUUUCUUUUCUAAUAUAAAGUAUUUUUUUUCUCAGUAAUAAAUAAAGGCUUAUUAUCUCUUACUGAAUGAUGGUUAAUAAUGAUAUGGUGAGAAAACAUUUUUAUACUGGUUUUCAUCUGUUCGUAAGUACUAUGUACUGUGUGAGAUAUGAUGCAUUUUUGAAUGUUAGACAUUGCCCUUUAUAAGAAACCCUAUGCAGUUUGUAAUGCAAUGAAGCAAUUGUAAAUCAUUUCAUUUUUUAAAUUACCCAUAAAGAUGUAUUUUGUCAAGCUCUCAGAGCACAUUUAUGGUGGGAUGAGUCUUUCAAUAAAACAUGACAUUUGAACAAGGUAUGAGAACUUUAAUUAGUUCAGUUAUAGAAGCUGGAUGUAAAAAUGAAUGAGUGUGAUUUAAAAUCAUAUGAUAAAUACAAUUUACCCUUUUACAUUUUAUUUAUUUAUUUAUUGUGCAUCACUGCCAAAGAUCUGGAGAAAGAAAGAAACGCCACUGAGACAAGAAGCAUUGACUUUAUUUACAUUUUGUUAUAGGUUUUUCAUAGAAAAAUAGAGGAAAAAGACAAGAUCGUGUUGCUAUGGAAGUAAUAACAGACUACCAAAUAAGUGGUGCAAAUGUAAUAAUAGAUCUCAAUUCUGACAUCUCUUUUCUGUUACAUGC